UUGCAAGCAAACCUAUAUAUGAACUUUACCAUGAAUUGCACGCGCUGGAUAGAUUUGAGCAUUAUUUUCAAAAAAGGUAAUUGCAUGAAGAGGAGUUCUUAACAGCAACUCGACGGGGUAAAACCGGAAGAGGAGUUGUACCCCAAACUUGAGUUCAGUAUAUGAAAAAGAGUUGGGGUCAUGCCGAUUUUCUUUGGUGCUCCCGCUAUUCAACCUUGCAAGAAGCUUAAAGUUGCACCAGCUGGCUUGUUGUGGAAAAGAAGCUAGGCUAGGCACUGUAGAUUUGCAAGCACGCAUAUAUAUGUAUGCUGGGUUCUUGCACUAGCUUGUGCUGUAUGUUGUCUUGUCAUCUAUCCUAAACAUCUCAUACAGAUUACAUGUACCAGUACGAGUGUAAACUUAAAUAUUAAUCCAUAAUGUUAAAGUUGUGGUUAAAACCAUGGUA